rnacentral:lncRNA from 1 species
CAGAAAAACAUUUUAAAAAGCUCAAUUAAUGGCUCCCACUGCAGAAAACUGGAGAGAGGGGGCGAUAGCGCCUCGCAAAAGAAUCGAGGGUUGAAUAAAUUCUCGACAAUGGAAAGAGACUUUUUCGAUGAGGCCCCUUGUUCUUCUAUCGCAGUUGAUUCUAUAAUUCGCAUGGGCACUGUAAGAUCAGCUCUAUCUUCCCACACGCACAUUAACGAAGAUUCGUUCAUUUUACAAAAUUUGUUACCAAAACAAAUGUUGAAUUUCGAUGCAGGCCGGCGUAAUUUGGGGUUCCUGUGUCGGUCCGUUUGAUGCUAACAAAUUGGGUAAUUUAUUUGUUUAUUUGAUUAUACAUUAAUCGAGAGUGUCUAUUAAGUUUUAAAUUCUAUUAGGUCUCACUGGCAUCGCUCGUGCAUCUUUAGUAGUAAGUUCUGUUUAUUCCAUUUCAUUUAACUUCUGAAAUUUGAAUGGAUCGUUGUGCAAGUUUGUCACCGUUUUACCUGUCUGAUGAGAUUUAUCUGCUUUUUACUUUGAAUACAGGCUAAGUUGGUUGGUCAAUAUGGGCUUCAUUGGGGUAAGUG